rnacentral:lncRNA from 1 species
AAGCUAGUUUUGUUGGCAUGUGGAAAGCAAAAGUAGCGAAGGUAAAGAGAUUAAAAUUGGAUUUAGUGCGUAUUUUUGAAAAAAUUUUACCACAAAAUAUGGUAGUCCCCCCCCCGUCGAUGACACUUGUGACGUCAGGUACAUACGGGACUUUGGAGGCGGGUUUUGGCGGGAAAAUCUGUAAUGUUUGGAGAAGACAAGAUGGCGCUGGUUACCUCGUGUUAUAUCAAACGGCAUGUUUGUUCAAAAAUACCCGCUUAUUUUACGUUAUAGCGACUGGUUCGUUUUGGAAAUUAUAACUCAAUGGACGGGGAAAAUGGUUCUGUAUUAAAGAGAAAAUGAUGUGCAGUUAUUGUGAUGUUAUUUGUUGUGAAAGACGGCCCGAAAUUUCGCUACUUCGCAGUACUGGUUUAUAAAACAUUUACAAGCAACAGCAAUUGAACUAUAUGACAAAGAAACCAAUGUAUACAAGCCAAUCAAGUUCUUCAGUUUAAAGGUCUGUUUACUUUUUAAUAAUUAGUUCAUUUAGUUGUACAUUAAUACGAAGUACUGGAACAGUAGUGACAGUACGCCUAGUCACAGAACAGGAAGGUAUACCCAUUGAACUAAAAAUAACUGGAACGAUACCUCCAGCCGGAAAUGUGAAGCCAUGCCAUAGAAAUAAUAGACAUAAUAACUAUAAAACUGGUAAACUAAAAAACAAUUCAAACAAUCACAAAAAAUGGCAAAGUCACAGUUGCAAGUCAAUUACCUACCUGUGAAAUGAAAUUUUCCUCGCAAGAAUAUCUCUUUCCUUGUGCAUCCAGAACGACACAAUAUAUUUGAAAAAGCCUAUUCUUUUCUCCACACAGGGAAGUUUUCCUCGACUUUUUUCUGACAGCGAACUCAAUGCAAUAAAUUUUAGGAGCAAAACAGUUUUCUCCUAAAAUGUAUUGCAUUGAAUUGGCCAUGUUUUUAAUUUUUUUUUUCGUGAUUGCGUUCAAAUUUAUACUGGCCGUGCAACAGUUUGCAAGAGGGGGAAUGAAAUGACGUCCAAUCCGCGUAAACCUGACGACUGACGUCCAAUCCGCGUGAAAGACUGGUAUCGAGGCUUCAUUGUUUUCACAAUCAAAUGACUGAAUGUUAUCAUUCCAGAUAUAUAUAUAUAUAUAUAUAUAUAUAUAUAUAUAUAUAUAUAUAUAUAUCCCACAGGAGAAUUUAAUAGCCAAUUUUCUGGAAAAUUUAGCCCAAUUUUCUGGAAAAUUUCCUGGUUGUUUUCCCUGCAGCUUGUUUAUAAACAUGCUUGUUUAUCUAUAGCAUCAUUUGUAGAAAAGGUGUUGAAAGCAUUUUUUGAAAGCAAUGACGUAUUAUCAAAUGACAAAUGAUCAUGCGAGCGACACUUGCUAGGAAGAUGGCGACUGUGGGACAACUAUAUAAUAGUUUUGUUUGUGGAAACACCACAUAAAUUUAUUACUGCAAAGCUUUCGAUCCGUAAGCCCGGAUCUUCAUCAGUGCUAAUAUGUGACUUGUUUAAUUCACACGCCCUUUUUAUAUACAAAAAAUGUCUUGAUCUGUUGGCUCACAUAUUAUUAGCACUGAUGAAGAUCCGGGCUUACAGAUCGAAAGCUUGGCAGUAAUAAAUUUACGUGGUGUUUCCACAAACAAAACUAUUAUAUGUUUUAUCGCCAUGCAAACAUACAAAGAACUUAUUGUGGGACAACUUUUUUACUGAAGUUAUACAUCUGUCUUCACUUAAUCUGUGGCUCAGCUGGCUAGACCUUGAUUCUUGCCUGUGGUCCCCCUUUGCAUUUGACCCAAAUGUUUUGGUCAUUUUAUAUUUGCCAAUAUAAAUCUUUUUGGCAUAGAAAUUAUACAUUUGGAAUAAUAAUUUUGUAUGCUGCAUUCAAUCUAUUCUCCAUUCAGGGAGAUUCUUUUGUAAAUACCCACACCAAUCAGAAGUCUGUAUUUUUAUGCUAAGACAGAAAUUGGCAUCCCAGAGAGUAAAUUAUAUUCAAGUUUAGGGCAUGUUGCAGCUCUAUAUCUUGCCGUUGCAAGUUGCUUUGCGUUUGAUGUUUGUUCUGGGAUAAAAUAUUGAAUUAUACCUUAAAUUAAUGUUUUGUGAAAUUUAGUUUAAAACUCUUUGACGGCAAGUCGGUUUCGCAAUACAUUACGACUUAAUUUUGCUAUUGUAAAUAUCUCGGCGAGUAUUUACCCCCCUUUUAAAUAAAACCCACCAUUGAAAUCCUCACAAAAUAACCUUUCGAACGGGGGGUCAAGUGCCGUCAAAACAUUACACAAACCGAAACAAUCAUAUAUUUACUCACCGCUUGGCCAAAGAUUCUGAAUUUCAUAUCCAGAUAAUCUUGAAUAUCUCUUGAACUUUUCGUCAUUGUCUGAACGGCUAUAUGUGUAAAAUACUCUUUGUAUUCAAGCGCUUUCGUGUACAAAAUUUCGUUUGAAUACGGCGAGUAGAAAUAUUUAUUUUGAAUUUUUCAAUGAUGCGGGUUUUACUCGCACUUGCGUACAUUGCGCAAUAAUUGGCCAAUAAGAAGCUCCUGUGGCCGGGAUGACGUCAAACUCACGCGUGUAGGUGCAAUCUGACCUUGCGAAUCCAUUUCUGGCCUUUGCAGGGUCAUACGAUACAAGCUUCGAAUUGUUUUGACGGUUUUCUGUCGUACUUCCGGUUGGGAUUAACUCUCUUCGAGCUCACAGUCGGACAAGAAAUGGAAAUAUAUUGAUAAAAUAUACAGAUUUGAAGAUACAGGCUUGCAAAUAACACUCUAAAUAGUGUUUUUAAUGGGGAUUCGAACAAGACUAUUACAAAGACGAUAUGUUCGAAGGGGCCGAAGUUAUUUUUGGCGAAAGGUAUGGCUAAGUUUAUAUUUUUGUUCAGACAAUUGCGUAAUUUGAUACAAUAUGAUCGUGUUUGACUUCAAAGGCCCAUAAAUCGCUACAAUAUUGAUAAUGACUAUAGCUAUAGUGACGAAUUAGUUGAAUCUUUUAUUUCUGAAUCGAAUGGUGGUAUUUCUGUCUUCAUAACAUGCACCGAACCGAAGAUAUGAACAUCCAAUCAUUCAUCCGCUAGCGGAUGAAUGAUUUGGGAUUUGCCGUCAAAGAGUUAAAUAAUUUAGUAGAGAGAUGAGUGCAUAAAGCAUAGGGAUUUUGAAGCUAAAUAUGUUAUAAAAUUUGUCAUUUUAGUGAAUGCAUUCUUUUCUGCUCGUCCUGGUUGUUGCAAGGAGACAUCAGGCAUUGUAAUGGAUGGAUGACGAUGUGUCGCCGGCAAACCUACACCGUGUGCAUUUUCUUGGUGGAUAUCUUGGGCAAAUGUGCAAUAUGACGAGGGAUAUCUUGGGCAAAUAUCUUAUAUAAAUUGGUACGAUUGCUUACCUUAAAUUACUAAAGAAGGAUGAUGUUGUAAGG